rnacentral:rRNA from 1 species
GACGAGCGCUGGCGGCGUGCUUAACACAUGCAAGUCGAACGGUAAGGCCCUUCGGGGUACACGAGUGGCGAACGGGUGAGUAACACGUGGGUGAUCUGCCCUGCACUUCGGGCUAAGCCUGGGAAACUGGGUCUAAUACCGGAUAGGACUCCUGGCUUCAUGGUUGGGGGUGGAAAGCUUUUGUGGUGUGGGAUGGGCUCGCGGCCUAUCAGCUUGUUGGUGGGGUAAUGGCCUACCAAGGCGACGACGGGUAGCCGGCCUGAGAGGGUGACCGGUCACACUGGGACUGAGAUACGGCCCAGACUCCUACGGGAGGCAGCAGUGGGGAAUAUUGCACAAUGGGCGCAAGCCUGAUGCAGCGACGCCGCGUGAGGGAUGACGGCCUUCGGGUUGUAAACCUCUUUCAGCUAUGACGAAGCGCAAGUGACGGUAGUAGCAGAAGAAGGACCGGCCAACUACGUGCCAGCAGCCGCAGUAA